UAAUGCCUAGGAAUCUGCCUGGUAGUGGGGGACAACGUCUCGAAAGGGACGCUAAUACCGCAUACGUCCUACGGGCGAAAGCAGGGGACCUUCGGGCCUUGCGCUAUCAGAUGAGCCUAGGUCGGAUUAGCUUGUUGGUGAGGUAAUGGCUCACCAAGGCUGCGAUCCGUAACUGGUCUGAGAGGAUGAUCAGUCACACUGGAACUGAGACACGGUCCAGACUCCUACGGGAGGCAGCAGUGGGGAAUAUUGGACAAUGGGCGAAAGCCUGAUCCAGCCAUGCCGCGUGUGUGAAGAAGGUCUUCGGAUUGUAAAGCACUUUAAGUUGGGAGGAAGGGCAGUAAGCUAAUACCUUGCUGUUUUGACGUUACCAACAGAAUAAGCACCGGCUAACUUCGUGCCAGCAGCCGCGGUAAUACGAAGGGUGCAAGCGUUAAUCGGAAUUACUGGGCGUAAAGCGCGCGUAGGUGGUUUGUUAAGUUGGAAGUGAAAGCCCCGGGCUCAACCUGGGAACUGCUUUCAAAACUGGCAAGCUAGAGUAUGGCAGAGGGUGGUGGAAUUU
rnacentral:rRNA from 1 species